GUACUCGCUUCGGCGGUACAUAUACUCAAGAUUGGAACGAUACAGAGAAGAUCUGCAUGGCCUCUGCUCAAGGAUGACACGCAAAAUCCUGAAUCGUUCGAUUUCCGU